CUUCUCUGAGCCUCUAUUGGUUGCGCGCGAGAGUCUGCUUGCUUCCUAUUGGCGAGGGGCGGUGGCACGGCGUGCUGUUCAUCCCCCCCUCCCACCAUGGCUUUCAGUUGGCCUGUCAAGGGCAAGAAGAAUGGCAGGAGCUGAUGAGGCCACAAAGCGGAUGGAGAUGUGCUUCAAGAGCGACAUCCAUUAUGUGCAGUGGUACCUGGUUAUGCAUCUGCGUCCACAUCAGAUGUUUGCAUGGAGAUAUUCACUAUUGGCCUAGGGCUACUAAAGAUUAACUUUUUCUGCCAGCAUCCUUCAACAUAGACAUGUGGACUUCUGAAGACCAAUUCAGACAACUUCACACCAUUCACCCAGCAGCUGAAGCCGGCAGCUGUAGAAGCAGCAACAGUAGACACAGCACACAGAAAACAGGAUUAAGAAGCGUCCCUAAAUGCAAUUGUGUCUAACAAGGUACAAACAUGACAAGGUGAUGUCUUACCUUCACGGCAAACUCUGCUUCUGUGGAUUUGUGUACACACCUCUUGCAUACUGAAUGCAUCCUUACCUGGACAAUGGGGUGAAUUUUGUGGACUUCUUGCUGUGGAGGCUCCUGCACCAAGUUGGAUGCAAUGAAGCUGAAUCCCCUGAAGAGAUUAUGAGCGUUGGCACUUGGAGGGACGCCUGGGGAAUCUGCAGAGGAGGAGUGGCAGUGUGAACAUAGUGGAUGGUGGAACGAGGAGCCGAGGUACAAAAUUACUUUUAGAAUUGGGAGCAGCAUAUUGCAAGAUGAGCCCAUGCCAGUAACUCUCCUUUAAGCUUUAGAUGCUAGAACAUUGGUUAUUGAACAAUUUUCUUUUUUCUUCUUUCUGCUGUGCAGAUUGCAGAACUGGUUUGCACCACAACAGUACACAAUUGAUAUCCAGCUAAUCCAGGCUUCCUCAAACUUGGCCCUCCAGAUGUUUUUGGCCUACAACUCCCAUGAUCGCUAGCUAGCGGGACCAGUGGUUAGGGGUGAUGGGAAUUACAGUCUCAAAACAUCUGGAGGACCGAGUUUGAGGAAGCCUGAGCUAAUCUAUUGAUUUGCACCAGUGUGGAAACAAACUAAAGGUGAAAAAUUAUGACCAAGCAGCCAGUUAUUUAGGCAGUCAGUUAGCCGGGCUGGGAGAUGGCAGUUUGUGGUUGUGUGUACACUCUUGUUUACUCUUCAUCAUGUGAGCUCCCACUACUGGUUUGGGAAGCAGUGUACACAUGGUGUUAACCAAAAGCUACACCUUUCUUGUCAUUUUUAAAUGAAAUAGUACAUUCUGAUGU